rnacentral:rRNA from 1 species
UAGCUACGUCCGGACGGGAUAACCGCUGAAAGCAUCUAAGCGGGAAGCCCACCUCGAGAUGAGCUCUCCCAUCCCCUUGAGGGAGUAAGAGCCCUGGAAGACCACCAGGUGAUAGGCCGGAUGUGUACGUGCGGUGACGCACUCAGCAGACCGGUACUAAUGCUUCGAGGGCUUGACGGA